rnacentral:rRNA from 1 species
UUCGCAAUGCCCGAAAGGGUGACGAAGCGACGCCGCGUGGGUGAGGAAGGCCUUCGGGUUGUAAAGCCCUGUCAGGAGUUAAGAAAUGUAGGCUUGCUAAUAUCGGGUCUAUUUGACAAAGGCUCCAAAGGAAGCCACGGCUAACUCUGUGCCAGCAGCCGCGGUAAUACAGAGGUGGCGAGCGUUGUUCGGUAUUAUUGGGCGUAAAGAGCACGUAGGUGGUUUUGUAAGUCAGGUGUGAAAGCCUUCUGUUCAAAGGAAGAACGGCAUCUGAAACUGCAGAUCUUGAGUGUAGGAGGGGAGAGUGGAACUUCUGGUGGAGCGGUGAAAUGCGUAGAUAUCAGAAGGAACGUCGGCGGCGAAAGCGACUCUCUGGCCUAUUACUGACACUGAGUGUGCGAAAGUUAGGGGAGCAAACGGGAUUAGAUACCCCGGUAGUCCUAACCGUAAACGAUGGGCACUAAGUAGAGGGGUUUU